CACCACUGCAGGUACUCUUAUUCUAGUCCAGACAUGCUGAAAUAGUUGGGACCUCUACAAAACUGAGCAUGGAGAGCAGAAAUGAAAGCAGAAUGCUGCCUUCAAGGGGCUUGCCAAAUAUUCCUCUAGUUUCAGCUGAAAGGGAGAUGUGGCUGUGUAGGAGCUGCAUGUGUGCAGGCGUUUCCCCAUGCAGGCAGCUGCAGCACCUGAGUGAGUGCAGGCAAGUGGGAGGAUGACACUCAGCAGCUUUCCCCCGUGCUCAGAACAGCUGCCUCUGCCCCAACCCCAUUCUGCCCAUCCCUCUGCACUCAGAAACCACGGUGCCAGGAAGUCACUUCUUCCUAGCUGAGGUCCUCAUAUAAUAAUGUCCAUUUAAGCAUUGUUGCUUGUGGUGUAGGUCAGUAGUCAUGACUCAGGGCAGCCCUUCACUUAUCUUCCUCUUGCUGGCUAGACACAAAAUCCAGCCCACAAAUUAAUCUGUCCCAUUUGCCAAUAAAGAGGAUCCCUUGUUCAUUAAAAAAUUGCACACAGAAGUCCUUAGUUUGUAUUAAGGUCCUCUUCAGUAACUGUGAAAUCAAGCCCUUAAAAGUUCAGAAAUCCCAAAUUCUCCUUGCAUUCCAGAUUUGUGUUUGGGAUUUUUUGUUCCGGUUGUCUUGGUGGACAGCAUUACACAUAGUAGUGUAGCUUUUAACAGGAUAAACACAGUAAUUCUUCAUCAUCUUAGUUUUUGCAGAGGAGGAUAAACAAAGCUGAAAUGUGCUUCCCUCUCUGUUCAGUGUCUUUGUACAAGUCCUGGAGGUGGAGAUCUCCAAGCCUGGAUGUGUAGUGCCCCCUCAGGGGAAGCUGUUCCUGAUGCUGAUUCCUGGCUGCAUCCAGUUUGUCUUCUGGAAGGGAUGUGUGGAAUAGAAACAGUGAAGUUGUAAGACCAGAGAAGACAGAAGCCCAGAGGGGAAAAAGGUACUCAUGACAAAUUCCCCUGCAAGCUCAGACAUUAAUCCUUGGGAAAAGUGAGUGUCAGGAGCCUGGUUAUGGAGCCAUGGGGCCAUUUAUGGACAGCCUUUGCUGGAGCCUUCCAGCAUCUGAAGGGAGCCUAUAUGGAAAACAUGGAGGGAGACAAUUUAAAAGGGCCUGGAGUGACACGACAAGGGGGAAUGGCUUCACACUGACAGAGAGGCGUUUAGGUUGGACAUUAGGAAGAAAUUCUUC